rnacentral:pre_miRNA from 1 species
GUUCGGUCGCUACAUAGCGAUCGAGAUGCGAACGUUCUCGGUCCCUACGUAGCAACCGAGCUUGGCCAGAGCUCAGUCGCUACGUAGUGACCGAGCCGUGUUCGUGCUCGGUCGCUAUGUAACGACCGAGC